rnacentral:rRNA from 1 species
UACGUAGGAGACGAGCGUUGUCCGGAGUUACUGGGCGUAAAGGGUGCGCAGGUGGCUGUGCGCGUGGGGAGUGAAAUCGCCCGGCUUAACUGGGCGGGGGCUUUCCAGACGGCGCGGCUUGAGCAGCGGAGGGGGGCGUGGAAUUCCUGGUGUAGCGGUGAAAUGCGCAGAUAUCAGGAGGAACACCGGUGGCGAAGGCGGGUCUCUGGGCCGAUACUGACGCUGAGGAGCGAAAGCGUGGGGAGCGAACAGG